GGGCCUGUAUGAAUGGUAGUACGAGGGUUUGACUGUCUCUUCUCUCCGGUCAGUGAAACUGAUCUCUCCGUGCAGAAGCGGACAUUUUUUUACAAGACGAGAAGACCCUAUGGAGCUUUAGACGCUAGCCAACUGCCGAAGAUGACCUUUCCAAAAGAGUUUCCUAGCCCCGGUGGUUCUGGCCACGUGGUCUUAGGUUGGGGCGACCGCGGGAGAAAACAAAGCUCCCAAGCAGACAGGGUGAACCCUGAAACCGAGAGCGACGGCUCUAAGUCGCAAAAUUUUUGACUAUUUGAUCCGGCAUAAGCCGAUUAACGAACCAAGUUACCCUAGGGAUAACAGCGCAAUCCCCUCCCAGAGUCCCUAUCGACAAGGGGGUUUACGACCUCGAUGUUGGAUCAGGACAUCCUAAUGGUGCAGCCGCUAUUAAGGGUUUGUUUGUUCAACAAUUAAAGUCCUACAUGAUCUGAGU
rnacentral:rRNA from 1 species